CUACAGGACUCUCUAGAGUCCCCCAUCAUAGUCAAAACUACAUAUU
rfam:Chelonia mydas contig145211, whole genome shotgun sequence.